rnacentral:rRNA from 1 species
UGCGUAGGCGGAUUAAUAAGUCAGUGGUGAAAUCUCUCGGCUCAACCGGGAAACUGCCAUUGAUACUGUUAAUCUUGAGUUCGGUUGAGGUAGGCGGAAUGUGUAAUGUAGCGGUGAAAUGCUUAGAUAUUACACAGAACACCAAUUGCGUAGGCAGCUUACUAGACCGACACUGACGCUGAGGCACGAAAGCGUGGCUAGCGAACAGGAUUAGAUACCCUGGUAGUCC